UUAAACGUCCAUUGCGCGUUGAAUACACCUGUUCUCGUUCGAUCACUGAAGUUAAGCAAAGUCAGGCGCGGUCAGCACCUGGAUGGCCUGGGAACAUCGCAUGACGUUGGCU
rnacentral:rRNA from 1 species